rnacentral:rRNA from 1 species
AGCAGGUCUCCAAGGUGAAUAGCCUCUAGUCGAUAGAAUAAUGUAGGUAAGGGAAGUCGGCAAACCCGAUCUGUAACUUCGGGAUAAGGAUUGGCUCUGAGGAUCGUGGCGCGCCGGGCUUGGUCGGGAAGUGGAGCGGUGCCAACGUGCCGGGCCUGGGCGAGGUGAAGGGCGCUCGUCGUCCGGACCCUAGCUCGGUCCCGUGCCUUGGCCACCCACGGACCUUCCUUGCUGCGAGCCUCCCGGCUGUCUAGUUUUCGGCUUCGCCGGAGGACGGGCCGGAAGGCUCUUCGGCCGCCAUAGAACGAUCAACUUAGAACUGGCACGGACCAGGGGAAUCCGACUGUCUAAUUAAAACAAAGCAUUGCGAUGGCCCUAAGGGGUGAU